UACGUAGGGUGCAAGCGUUAAUCGGAAUUACUGGGCGUAAAGCGUGCGCAGGCGGUUUGUAAGUUUGUCGUGAAGCCCGGCUCAACCUGGGAAUUGCGAUGAAGACUGCAAGGCUUGAAUCUGGCAGAGGGGGUAGAAUUCCACGUGUAGCAGGUGAAAUGCGUAGAGAUGAUGGAGGAACACCGAUGGCGAAGGCAGCCCCUGGGUCAAGAUUGACGCUCGAUGCACGAAAGCGUGGGGAGCAAACAGG
rnacentral:rRNA from 1 species